CCUUUAGUCAUGCCCCCUGCCCUAGUCUAAGCAUAAAAACAUUCUCUCCCCUGGGGAAAUUCCUUCCUUCAUUUGCUGUAAAGUGUGUCAUUUGACUCCUGCUGAAAUGCAUGUUUUUGGAGUGGAAAAUUGGAAGCACAUGAUUUAUUCCCAAAGAAAACCUUUAAUUCAGCAGCCGAGAAAUUACUUUGCUACUGGUCCAAAGGGCUUACCAGUUACCAUCAGGAUGCUGUUAGAGCCCUCAGAAAUGGUGUGCAGCAUUCCAAGGCAAGGGGGCCUUUGAAGGAUUUCCCUGAAGAACUGCUUCUGCUCGGUUGUGCUUGGCCACUGCAGCCUGAGAGGAAUGAACACUGUCUAGCAAACAGGCCCUAUUAGCACAACAGGUGAGUCCAGGAAGCAGGGAUGCGAUAAAGAGCCUGGUGGCUUCUUUAGAUGGGGAGAGAUGGAGGCCGCGCCCUCUGGAAAAUCCAGCCACUAUGGCUCUCCUUCUAGUCCCCAGUCUUUUUCUAUUGCCUUUUCAUGAGAAGGGAAAAACAAUAAUACUAUAUCCAGUGUCUGACAUAGCACCUGAUGUAUGAGAUAAAUCAACAAAUGUUCAUUGAUGGAUGGAUGGAUGAAUUGAUGCAAUAAUAAUUUAUUAAGUUUCUUCUUUGUACAAAAUACUACGAUGAGCUAUUGGAGGCAACGCAAAGUUUAGAUAUAGUCUCUAAACUCAGGGAACUUACAGUCAAGUUGGGCGAGAGCAACACCAAUGGCUAAAAAACCACAGAUAGCUUUAAAGCUAUCUUAAUGGCUGCUGUAGAUCUGAUGCCUUUAUAACUUGAUUGUACUUCUAGAAACUUGUAGAACUAAAUUAAACCAAAUCAUGGGGAAACAUGGCAGAACCACAUUGACCUGCAGAUCUCACUCAACUUGGAAAAAAAUAUACACUGAGUCCCUUGUCACUACAUCAGGCUGAUUUAAUCUCAGACUGGUUUUUCUGGAUAUUAUAAUAACAACAGACAGCAUAAAUGUCAGCAUCUAUGCAGCCUGCACUCUAAGGUUUGCAAAACACUUUAUAGAUGUAAGAAGGAAUGACCCAAGAGACCCCAGUGCUUAGAGUAGUUGAUGGCACUCCUAGUGGAGUAAUGGUGUUCUUGCUUUUGGCAAGGCAGGACGAUGCAUAAUGGAGGGGCCUUGGCUCUCAUUCAGAGUCUAUAUAGAUAUGUGAUGACUACUUCCUGUUGACUUACUAAAUGGUCACAAAAAGUCUUUUAAUUGACUGUUGUUCCAGAACCAAAUGUGCAUACAGAAGAGAGAAAGAGAAAAUCUUUUUUUUUUUCCCCUUCCAUGAAGCUUUUGAAUGAGAAGAAAAGAAUGUUUUAAGCCUUUGGGUGAGGGAAUUCCUCUUUCCCCUUGUCAUGAAGAGAGAAAGAGAAAAGAAUCAGCAUUUUUAUAACAUCUACUAUGUGCCAGGCACUGUGCUAAGUUCUUUACAAAUAUUGCCUCAUUUGAUCCUCCUCAAAAUAGCCCUGUGAAAUAGGUGAUUUUUAAUUCCUAUUUUACAGCUGAAGCCAACAUAGGUUAAGAGUCAUACAACUCGUGUCAGAGACUGAUUUGAAUUCAUGUUUUACUAACUCCAUGAAAUCUUGAACACAUGAAACUUUUGUUCUUUUCUUUUUGUUGAGUUUAUUUUUUUCCCAGAUCAUAGAUGGAUUUGGAAUGGAAAGACCUUAUAAGCUUAGCUUGGAAGGCAUACCAGAGAUCCAAUGAUGGACAAUUCUCCAUAUCUGCAAUAUUGGAACCAGUUGAGAAGUGAACUCAGAAUAAUGACCUGCUUGACCCUGUCCAACAGUCUUUUGAUCCAGCAGCUAAAAUAAAGUGUCCUAUAAUAAAGGGGGCA
ensembl:lncRNA